rnacentral:rRNA from 1 species
UACGGAGGAUCCGAGCGUUAUCCGGAUUUAUUGGGUUUAAAGGGUGCGUAGGCGGACUGUUAAGUCAGCGGUAAAAGCCCGGGGCUCAACCCCGGCGAGCCGUUGAAACUGGCUGUCUUGAGAUGUCGAGAGGUAUGCGGAAUGCGCAGUGUAGCGGUGAAAUGCAUAGAUAUCACACAGAACACCGAUUGCGAAGGCAUCUGACGAAUCGGAGAUUGACGCUGAUGCACGAAAGCGUGGGUAUCGAACAGG